rnacentral:lncRNA from 1 species
AAUAAAAACUUGAAACAGGGAUUGAACACUUAGUUCAUGAACAAAAUUACGAAGCAAUUGACGGUUCAUCAAGAAAGAAUAGCCUAAUUAUGCAUAAGUACUAAAGAUCAAUAUUAUUGUGAAAUGAGAAUCAAACACUCAGUAGCAUAAACACCUACUAAACUAAUCGGAGUAUCAGGUAGUAGAACAAAUGAAGAUAAUGAGAUGAAGGUCAACAAACAAUAGAAAUCACACUACUAAAGAACUAACCAACUAGGCUUUCGGAAUCAGGAGGCUAAUGCAAACAUGAUAUCAAAUCAAACUCAAAAGACGAAGAGAUUUUCAGACCAGUGACAAACAAAGGCAUAUAUUUAGCCUAUUUCAGAUGAGAUUGUGGACAAACAAACAAUCAUUCAAAGAAAUCAAAGUAUCUAAAAACUAAUAGAAAUGAAGAAAAUAUAUAAAAACAAAGAAAGAGUACUUAGCUUCUUUUAUGCAAAUCCACUUGCAACCAUUUUGUUGGUUCCUGACCCCUUCUACUGAGGUUUCUAGCAACUCAUUUUGGACUGAUGGGUUUUAGGGGUUCAGGUUUGGGGUCCUGGUGAUUCUGAGACCCUCUGAGGUCUCAGAUUUGAGUUUUCUCAGUGAUUGGUGGUAUUUGGGGGUUAUGUGGGGUAUGGUUGGGGAAAGAAACAGACGGGGACUGUCUGAUAUGAGCAGGACCAAAUUCCUACAGGGUUGAGUUUUAGGGUUGAAUUUCAAAUUAAUGUUCGAAAAGUUUUGAAUGGAUUCGAAGGGUGUAACGCACAUGGUUGGAAAAAGGAGGUUGAGUUGUUUCAGGGGUGUAAGUUUGGAAGGGUUUGGAGUUUGGUCGCCGGAGAUGGAGGUUACAACGACCUUUCUGUGAAGAUUUGAGACGAUGGGGGGUCAUUUGAAGGGAGUGGACUGCAGGACGAGGAAGGGGAGGUCCUGGUGGUCCUAUGGUGUAAAGCUGGGGAGGUUUGGAACAAGGUUGCCGGAGACGGUGGUUCUGACGACCUUAAUUUCAAAUAUUCGAGACGGAUUAGACUUAUUAGACAAAAACUAGUCACAGGACAGGAAAGAGGAGGUUGUGAUGGUUUGAUGGAGUAAAUCUAGGGAGGUUUUGUGACCGGCUACCGCCGUGAGGCGAUUUCCGAUGGCGGCGUUAGGGUGGUAGAUGGGUGGUCAAGGGUGGUGUUACAUCGGGGGAUAU